GAAGAAUUAGUUAAUUAAUAACAUAAAUAUGUCAAAUUUAAAUUAUUACAUUAUUUAAGUAAUAUUCUUUU
rnacentral:tRNA from 1 species